rnacentral:rRNA from 1 species
UACGUAGGGACCAAGCGUUGUUCGGAUUUACUGGGCGUAAAGGGCGCGUAGGCGGCCUGAUAAGUAGGGGGUGAAAUCCUGCGGCUUAACCGCAGGGCUGCCUUCUAAACUGUCAGGCUGGAGCACAGUAGAGGCAGGUGGAAUUCCCGGUGUAGCGGUGGAAUGCGUAGAGAUCGGGAAGAACAUCAGUGGCGAAGGCGGCCUGCUGGGCUGUUGCUGACGCUGAGGCGCGACAGCGUGGGGAGCAAACAGG